AACUUUUCUCAAGAUGCCAGAAACAGCUGAGUGGUGUGUCCCACACGUGGGAUUUGUUACCAGAGGAACAUAUGGCCUCCAUGAUUUGUGCUCUAAGCUUGUAAGAGACCUAGAGGACCACUUCAAGUUUAACUUUCCUUUUUUCCCUUUCUCACUGCAGGAAAUAUCUUCAAAAAGGUAUUCUUGUUCAAUUCCUGGAUGUCACUAUUGUAGUACUGAGAACAUACAGGAAAAAAAUGAAAGCUAGACAGAAAGGGCAUAAUAAGGAUGGGCAAAACCUUCUUACCUGCAAGUGGAUUUAGCCAUUUCCUUUAUACUUGCAAAUAUCUACUCUCACCUAAGAAUACGUCUCCUCAUUACUUGUAAAUUAGACCACCAUCCGAAGCACAAAAAGAUUCUCUUACUAUGGAUGAAUCAUCCUCUCUCAUCUACCACACCAAGACCAAGACUAUAGAUAAUUAAAUUUUACAGAUUUCCACCACCAAAAAUGUAUACAUUUACCCAGUUCCAAACUGUAAUGUGUUUCAUUUCUCUGAGCUCUUGCACUCCACACUUGAGCACAUUAUAAAUCACUACCUAAAAAACCCUUCCUGUGCCUUCUGAAAAUUCUUUUUUCUGAGACAGUAUUAUAGACAGCUGUGUGGGAUAGAAAUUAAUACAUGGUCAGAAAAGGACUGGGCUCUUGAGAAAGUCAAUGAAAAAUACAGGUAUCAAAAUUGUGGCUGGAGGCACAUCUGAAGAAGACAGGCUUCAAAAUAAAGUCACAGUGACCCCACUGACACACUUACCUAAGGGAUAAGCAGCACUAUGAUUAGUACCACCAAGUUCAUUAGGUUCAGAUACUCAUCAGACACCUGGCUGGGUGACCAGAACCUCUGCACUCAUCCCUUCCCAAAAUGCUCCUGUUUUGGAAGUCAUAACUAAGCCAAGGCUAAUGAUAUCAACUAUGUACCCUGUUAAGUCCCCUUAUUUCCUAUUGGAUCAUCAUUGGCUAAGUGACUAUACUUGUAAUCCUACAAGUUGUAGUUUGACACUUGUAAGAUCCACACUGUAACUUUUAUUACAUUAAAUUACCCAAGCAAAGGACUUCAGUGGCAACCCACUCUGAAUCCCUGCUAUCACUCAGGAGUUACUCCGCAAUAAACUUUUUCUACUUCCAA